AGCGAACGCUGGCGGCAGGCCUAACACAUGCAAGUCGGACGAAGUCUUCGGACUUAGUGGCGGACGGGUGAGUAACACGUGGGAACGUACCUUUUGGUUCGGAACAACUCAGGGAAACUUGAGCUAAUACCGGAUGAGCCCUUAGGGGAAAGAUUUAUCGCCGAAAGAGCGGCCCGCGUUAGAUUAGCUAGUUGGUGAGGUAAAGGCUCACCAAGGCUACGAUCUAUAGCUGGUCUGAGAGGAUGAUCAGCCACACUGGGACUGAGACACGGCCCAGACUCCUACGGGAGGCAGCAGUGGGGAAUCUUGCGCAAUGGGCGAAAGCCUGACGCAGCCAUGCCGCGUGAAUGAUGAAGGUCUUAGGAUUGUAAAAUUCUUUUACCAGGGACGAUAAUGACGGUACCUGGAGAAAAAGCCCCGGCUAACUUCGUACCAGCCGCCGCGGUAA
rnacentral:rRNA from 1 species